UACGUAGGGGGCUAGCGUUGUCCGGAAUCAUUGGGCGUAAAGCGCGUGUAGGCGGUCCGGUAAGUCCGCUGUGAAAGUCGGGGGCUCAACCCUCGGAUGCCGGUGGAUACUGUCGGGCUUGAGUACGGAAGAGGCGAGUGGAAUUCCUGGUGUAGCGGUGAAAUGCGCAGAUAUCAGGAGGAACACCGAUGGCGAAGGCAGCUCGCUGGGACGGUACUGACGCUGAGGCGCGAAAGCGUGGGGAGCGAACAGG
rnacentral:rRNA from 1 species